CUGCUCGAACCUUCCACCAACCCGAUCGAGCUUACUAACUGGGGAAAAAUCCGCUCGAGGAAAAGUACACUUGGCGAUACUUACCCCACACCUCUUUGACUUCGUAUUUAAUUUUAACCAAGCCUAGUGAUACCCAAUCAAUUUUUAUAGAAAAAAGGACGAGGAAUUCAGAGAUACCAUCAGUUUUUUCAUAGGUCAGACCGUUACGGUGCUAUAAAAAUACAAACUUGAAAAUUGCUGCCAGCGGGCUUAAUGCGCUCGAACUUCGCACUUUACUAUAUAUCAUGAUAUAAUUAAUAAUCAAAUCAUGUGACUAAAUUGACUAAAUAUAUUGCCAGGGCAGUAGAUCUAGAAAAUUCUAGAUUUAUGCCUGUUGAUGUUAUGCUAUUUAUGAGUAGACAUUUUAUAAUGGAUUUACUUUUUACCUUAGUUUUAGUGUCCUUAGGCUUAGUGACACUUAGUCUUUUCUUAGUUCUAUAUCUUGACUUUAGUCUUAGUUUUAAUUUAAUUAUUUACUAUUUAGUCUGUCUGGACAGUCUGGUCUAGUAAAAUAAAUAGUUCAGUGUGGAUAUAAUAGAGCUAGAAAUAAUCUAGAAUCUAGUCAUAACUGUAGUGACAUAGUGUCUGAGUAGUGUAAUCGAGAUAGUACACUAGAUCUCUAAAAUACAUUCUAGCUGACCAUUAUCUGUAGUAGUUGUAGCUAGAUAUGUACAACUAGGUGCUAAAGCUAGAUUCUAGAUUAAUGUAAAAUAAUCUAGAUUAUUCUAGAUAGUUCUAUAACCUAGUUAUAGAUCUAUUAGUCAUCUUUCUUCAAAGUUUUAGAGACAGUCUACAGAGACAGAGUCUGCUGUAAUUAAUUCUAGAUUCCUAGAAACCUCAAAGUCUAGAUCUAGUCACUAUUAUUUUUAGGGGAAUCUAAAUAUGAAGGAUAAUAUCUAGAGUAGAGUAUAGUAUUACCAAGUCUAGAUCUAGAUUCAAUAUUAGAAUAAUGAAUUAAUGCUGCAUGAAUGAACAACUGUAAAAUAAUUAUUAUGUAGAAAAAUAAAAUUGUCCCCACAUUAUUAUUUGAAUCUGUUGCAUUUUACGUCUCGAGAAAUGAUCUUUUCCCUUUGCAACCACUUGUGUGACUAAGGGGGCCAAUCCUUGAUGCACAGCUGCAGACCAGGGUUGGGCAUAUGUAAUCACCAGGCGCCGUUGCAUUUUCUCCCUUCUUUCUUCUACUUGUGUAUGGCAUCUGCCAUCUGGGACCCUUCCUUUAUGCUCGCUCUCCAUGUGGAUCUAUCCAGUGCCACUUUUCCUAACUUUUAGAGUUGAUUUUGAAGAGCUUCAUGUCGUGUUUGCAUACAUAAGUAUACCUUAACAGUGGACGACCAGCGGCUCUCCUGAAUAUCUAUGGAAGUCGACUUUGUGGCAUUCUAUGAACGUGACCAAGCCAGCAUGGAUGUCCUGUCACCCUUCUCUUCACAGUGCUUCCUAGAUCUUUAGGA